ACCAAGAUUUAAGAUGAAUCUUCCCAUCUGUCUUAGUCACUGCUCUACUGCUGUGAAGGGACAUCACAAUCAAGGCAACUCUUAGAAAGGAAAGCAUUUAAUUGAGGACUUGCUUAUAGUUUCAUCAUGGCUGGGUGUAUUGCAGCAUGAAGGAAAAUGGAUAGAACUGGAGGGCAUCCUAUUAAGCAAAACAAGCCAGACGCAGACAAAUAAAUAGCACAUCUUCUCUCUUGUAUGGAAUCUCAACUAGAAGAUGAAAACAAACAGAACACACAUAAGUGGAAGGGAGUGUUUGAGAAGAGGGAGGACUGAGUACCAGUGCUCAGCGGGCCAAGAGGAUGACGAACGGUGAACACGAAUGAGAACCCUAUUACUUCUGCCCUCUUCCCAGAAGUGCCGGAGGCGACCUGUACUCCAUUGACCCAGAAACCCCUAUCAAGUCAUGUAAAUCAAGAGGUUCAAAUCUUUGUGUUAAUUCCCAGAAAGCCUUCUAAGUGUCUGAAGGAUGUGACUUUAAAGAAGCCAUGUGUGCCUUUCUGGCAGUGGAGUGGAGAAGUCUAUAGGUGCACCCAGGCCAAAUGGUGGGACUGGACCCAAAAAGAAGGCUGCAUGUUUGCUACACAAGCUUAAAAAUGCAGAGAGUGAUCCUGAAGUUAAGGGUUUAAAUGUAGCUUCUCUGGCAUUGACCAUAGCCAGUGAACAAAGUCCCUACGAUGCACCCAUGAACUUACAACAAAGCUCAUGGCUGGAUUAGUCCGUACAUAAAGUCCCCGGUCACAUUGAGGUGAUCUUCACUGAAAAAGAACAAAUUGACCCGAAG